rnacentral:lncRNA from 1 species
AAGCUCUGCCGAGGGCCCUCCGCUCUGAGUGAUUUUUUUUUUUUUUUUUUGAUGAUUUUGGGGGGUUUUCUGUGCGAUCCCAUAGUCGCACUGCGCCAGGACAGGUUAUUUCUUCCCUCCCACUAGAUGGAUGAGAUCAGGCAUC